AGUACAAUUGCUGUGUUAUAUGGUAAGAGUACGUUUAGUUUUGUAAGAACUGCCAAACUGUCUUCCAAAGUGGCUGUACCAUUUUGCAUUCCCACCAGCAAU
rnacentral:pre_miRNA from 1 species